GGGAUGGUAGCUCAGCAUGGGAGAGCACACGGCUGAAGACCGUGGAGCAUAACACUUUUGUGUUACGUCGGGAAUGUCGAGGGUUCAAAUCCCUCCCAUCCCA
rnacentral:tRNA from 1 species